CGGGCUUGAAUUGCAGACGAACGAUUCAGAGAUGAAGAGGCCCUUCGGGGCGUCUGUGAAGGUGCUGCAUGGUUGUCGUCAGCUCGUGCCGUGAGGUGUCGGCUUAAGUGCCAUAACGAGCGCAACCCCUUUUUUCAGUUGCCAUCAGGUAAUGCUGGGCACUCUGGAGAUACUGCCACCGUAAGGUGUGAGGAAGGUGGGGAUGACGUCAAAUCAGCACGGCCCUUACGUCCGGGGCUACACACGUGUUACAAUGGCCGGUACAGAGAGUUGGUUGUGUGCAAAUACGAUCUAAUCCUUAAAGCCGGUCCCAGUUCGGACUGGGGUCUGCAACCCGACCCCACGAAGCUGGAUUCGCUAGUAAUCGCGCAUCAGCCAUGGCGCGGUGAAUACGUUCCCGGGCC
rnacentral:rRNA from 1 species